CCUACGGGAGGCUGCAGUGAGGAAUAUUGGUCAAUGGGCGCGAGCCUGAACCAGCCAAGUCGCGUGAGGGAAUACGGUCCUAUGGAUUGUAAACCUCUUUUGUCGGGGAGCAAAAUACGCCACGCGUGGCGUUCCGAGAGUACCCGAAGAAAAAGCAUCGGCUGACUCCGUGCCAGCAGCCGCAGUAAUACGUAGGGAGCAAGCGUGGUUCGGAAUGACUGGGCGGAAAGGUUGCGUAGGCGGUUAUACAAGUUAGAAGUGAAAUACCACGGGCUUAACUCGGGUGCUGCUUCUAAAACUGUAAGACUUGAGUGCAGUAGAGGUUAGUGGAAUUCCUAGUGUAGCGGUGGAAUGCGUAGAUAUUAGGAGGAACACCAGAGGCGAAGGCGGCUAACUGGACUGCAACUGACGCUGAGGCACGAAAGUGUGGGGAGCAAACAGGAUUAGAUACCCCUGUAGUC
rnacentral:rRNA from 1 species